UCAUAAAUUAUAUUUGACGAAUGGUCUCCACAUCCUAUUAUUUACCACCAAGUUAUAUAACUCACGACAUAAAAAAUAUAUAUAUAGGACACCGUUCUCAUCUAAAUCUCAUUCACAGUCUACUCAACAAUCAGCCAGAAUGAAGUCAUUUGUUGCUAUCUGUUUAACUGUUCUUCUCGUCUCGGCUGUAUCGGCCCAAGGUCAAGGUGGCUGGGGACCCGGAAGUGCUAGAUUUCAGCAGCGUAUGGCUAAAUUCAGUCAGCCAGGAGGUUUGUUUGACCAGUGGGCAGCCCCCGGUGGACUAUUUGAUCAGUGGGCAGGUCCUGGUUCACCGUUUAGAAGAAUGGCGAACAGAAACUGGGGACAGUAUGGAGCACCGGCCCAAUAAUCCUAGAAAUUCUUGUACAUAUUAACACGGUAUAACAGAUAGAUCGCCUCUACACUAGGAUCGACCAUUACGAAAUCGAAUCUGAGUUAUGAUAAACAGCCAAACACGGAGAAAAUACCAGAUUUUAAUGAAACAUUUUAAUUUAAAAAACCUAUAUUUAACAGUUAAUGAUUAACUUUAUGUAAGAUAAAAUAGUCUGUUUUUGUGUGAUAAUAAUAAAA